ACGGGAGGCAGCAGUGGGGAAUAUUGCACAAUGGGGGAAACCCUGAUGCAGCGACGCCGCGUGAGCGAUGAAGUAUUUCGGUAUGUAAAGCUCUAUCAGCAGGGAAGAAAAUGACGGUACCUGACUAAGAAGCUCCGGCUAAAUACGUGCCAGCAGCCGCGGUAAUACGUAUGGAGCAAGCGUUAUCCGGAUUUACUGGGUGUAAAGGGAGCGCAGGCGGUUUUGCAAGUCUGAAGUGAAAGCCCGUGGCUCAACCGCGGGACUGCUUUGGAAACUGCUAAGCUAGAGUGCAGGAGAGGUAAGUGGAAUUCCUAGUGUAGCGGUGAAAUGCGUAGAUAUUAGGAGGAACACCAGUGGCGAAGGCGGCUUACUGGACUGUAACUGACGUUGAGGCUCGAAAGCGUGGGGAGCAAACAGGAUUAGAUACCCUGGUA
rnacentral:rRNA from 1 species